AUUAUAUGAGUCCUUUGCGGCAGCAGGUGUCCAUUCUAAAAAUAGUUUGCACGUCUGGGGGUGAUUACGGAGACUGGAAGGGAUAAUGAAGGUGUGUGCCCUUUGCAGCCUCAAGUAUCUGAGACCAAGGUCAUUCACGAUGCCUGGGCACACGGUUUCUCUCUCCCUGUGAUGUCGUUCUCGAGACCGCUCCUAUGACUGCUGCUGCGGAGACACGGAGCCAAUCCAGAGCGGACUGCCAGUGACGACACCAGUCGCCAAGGCCUCCAAGGGCCCAGAACAUAGUGGCGCCCUCUGGCGGGGAAAGGGAGGCAGUAUGUGAGAGACAGCCAAUCUGGUCAGCUGACUUCGGCCAAGUUCCAGUGCCUGGUGCAACACCCCCUGGCAACUCAAGUCACUUUCCAUCUCCAGAAACCCGACCAGAAGAGAGACAUGCUGAGAGGAAGCAAAGAUCAAGAAUCCUGGCAUCCAAUCAGAUACAGGAAUUAACGCAACAGCCGUCCAAUCAGAUGAGCGGAUCCAACCAAAUAGAGCAGCGUGAGGCGCGAUAAAAGGCGGGAAAAAGCCUGAGGCGAAGCGUGAGCACUCUUCACAAGACAUGGGAACAACCUAAAUGUCCAUGGACAGAUGAAUGGAUUA